rnacentral:sRNA from 1 species
UCUUCCCUUAUGAUGAAAUCGAGACAGAAGCUGUUCUGGCCAUUGAUGAUGAUAUCAUUAUGCUGACCUCUGACGAGCUGCAAUUUGGUUAUGAGGUCUGGCGGGAAUUUCCUGACCGGUUGGUGGGUUACCCGGGUCGUCUGCAUCUCUGGGACCAUGAGAUGAAUAAGUGGAAGUACGAGUCUGAGUGGACGAAUGAAGUGUCCAUGGUGCUCACUGGGGCAGCUUUUUAUCACAAGUAUUUUAAUUACCUGUAUACCUACAAAAUGCCUGGGGAUAUCAAGAACUGGGUAGAUGCUCAUAUGAACUGUGAAGAUAUUGCCAUGAACUUCCUGGUGGCCAACGUCACGGGAAAAGCAGUUAUCAAGGUCAGAGUGCAUCAACAAGUUUGCUUCAGUCUUCGGGACCAUGCCUCUCAAGGUGGUGGAACACCGAGCUGACCCUGUCCUGUACAAAGAUGACUUUCCUGAGAAACUGAAGAGCUUCCCCAACAUUGGCAGCUUAUGAAACGUGUCAUUGGU